rnacentral:rRNA from 1 species
UUGAACGCUGGCGGCAUGCCUUACACAUGCAAGUCGAACGGUAGAGGGGCAACCCUUGAGAGUGGCGAACGGGUGAGUAAUAUAUCGGAACGUGCCCAGUCGUGGGGGAUAACGCAGCGAAAGCUGCGCUAAUACCGCAUACGAUCUAUGGAUGAAAGCGGGGAUCGCAAGACCUCGCGCGAUUGGAGCGGCCGAUAUCAGAUUAGGUAGUUGGUAGGGGUAAAAGCCCACCAAGCCGACGAUCUGUAGCUG